GACGCGCGAAGCCGCCUGCGCCGUUAAGUGCAUCUAUAGAGUUCACUGUCCCGAUCUAAGUAAGCAAAGAAGAUGCUGGCCUUCCGUCCGACAAAUCGAUCAUCGAUUAGAAAUUGAGCCUGAAAUUUUCACUCGAUAAAAGAAACGUACGCAAAAAAUCCUCCUGAAUAAACAUCCAUUGCACUGAUUGUGAGGCCUACCGACCUGCAGAAUUCAACCAAAUAGCGCUCAGGCUUGACGGAUUCUUUUAACGGCACGUAAUUCGUCAGUAAUACACAAUGGAAGUGUGGCGCACACGCCUAUCAACUUCCCCACUUUACAACUAAUAUACCACUCACGUCCCAUGCAGCUGUCCUCGAGAGUUUUGUUCUCACAUCUUGCACAAAGUCCCUAUAAAGUUAAUGACAAAAAUAGCUGGCACGAUCGGUAACCAUAAAAGCUGCGACGCAAGGAUAUUUGCAAAUUGCUCAACACGUCAGGAGUUUUUAACUCGGAAUAUUAAUUACAUAUAAAUACCGCACGACAGCACAGAAGCUUAAUUGUGAGAGGAAAAGAAUCCAAGUUAACUGUAAGUUUAUAUUCACAUACCGAGAUGCCACAAGUAUUAGAAGAACCAAAUUUGGAUGAGCAAUUCACCUUGGAUGUUAACUGUCGACUAAGGUACCAUGAACUGCGUUUCAGUGAUCAUCAGAUUUCGAUAAACGCCUUCGGGUAUUCCAUGAAUAAUUGUGACAAAUGUGAGUCCGAUGUUACCUCGAUAAAAAUUGAUAAACAGAAGGAUUUUCAAGUAACCGACUAAUUGCAAAUAUUUUGGCACAGCUGAUUCCAUUCGCAGUUCCGAAAGCUGUUGGCUCACGAGCUCUGCGCGCGCGACGCAUUCACCGGGCCAAGUUGAGCCUCCGACUGACAAAGCCCUUUAUACAGUGGUGACGGCUACCCGAGAAAUUCAACGGUUGAACAUCACAGCUGGUAGGCCGGUUUCACGUGUGUGCGUUUCUGCUAGGAUAAGUGGAAGAACCAAAACGAUCAACAGCAGCACGGUCAACUUUUUUCGAAGGGACGACUUCAGCG
rnacentral:lncRNA from 1 species